rnacentral:lncRNA from 1 species
CCAGAGGCAGGCGGGAGGCGGCAGCGACGGAGGGUCCCGCAGCACAGGUCCUUCCUCGGGCAUGGUGGUCGCUCCGCUCGCCCAAGAGGUAGCUCUGGGAGUUCUCCCCACGGCCCACGUGGGGAAACCGAGGCACGGAGCGGCAAAAGCACUGCCCAGGGUCUCACAGUGCACGGGUGCUCGAAGCCCUGGGCCCUGGCUGGGCGAGCCGGCGGUGGGGGGCCUGUCCUGUGGAGACGGGGCGGGGUGUCUGGGAGCCCCCAGGCCCAGGAAGGGGCUUGGAGGACCCCCGGUCCCAGCCCUUUAGGCUGCAGUGGGGACGGGGUUCUGGCGGCUUCUGAGGAGUGUCCGAGACAGCCCGUGUGUCCAAGGGGGGCUGCGGCCGGGUCAUGCUGGCUCAGCCACCCUGCCUCCUGCCCGUGGGCCCUCCGGCCGGCCCUGGCUCCUGUCGCAGGGGACGGGGUGUGGCGAGGGGCGCAUGAUGCAGCGGGCACAGCAGGUCGGCGGGGUGUGGGAUGGCUGGGCGCCGGGCUUCCCCGAGGAUGCUCAGCCGCAGGAAACACCGGUGCGCGGGGCCGGGGGCCUUCCUCCGUGGGCUCCGGGCUGGGAGAGGCGCCCCUGCGAGGCUGUCCCGGCAGCCCCGCGCUCGGAGCAGCUUCUCCCCGAGCCUCCACAGGAAAGAGGUCGUCGGCUCUUUCUGCAGGAGGCGCCCUUGGGGCUGAGGCUGGACGCACGCACACCCGCGGUCCCCCAGCAGGCUGGCGGGGAGGCUCGGGGCUCACCGUCCCUCCGUCUGUCCGCCCCCCCGGGGCAGCACCACCAGCACCCAGUGGCCAGCGACCCCCGAGGCCGGCUCUGACCUGGCGCAGAGCCCAUUGCUUCCUGCGUUGGAAUGAGGAUGGAAUCGAAAGGUGGUGCAGUAGCCUUCGGGGCCCCCCACAGGCUCCCCCCAACCCCUGGGCACGCUCACAGCUCUGGGUCCCGCACCCCCACGCCCUCCCAGAGGGUCUCCCUGUGAAGUGCCAGGGCCUCCUUCCCGUGGUCCCCACCCGCCUCCAGGGCGCCCUCCCCGGUGGGCAGCUGUCCUGUCCCCCUGGCAGGGCCUCCGUCUACACCACAGUGGCUCCGUGUCCGCGCACCGGCCUCCCUGCUCUUCGGGCCGCUGGGACAGCCCGCUCCGUGCGCUCUGCACCCGCUGGGCGGCGCUGCGCUGCGUGGGGCAGGGGCUGCCGUGGGGCUCAGCCGCUCCCCGCCCCCACGCUCCCAGCUGGGGCUGGCAAGGCAAACAAACUGGCAAAGCCAUCAUUAACCAAUUACCGGGCCUCCCAAAUUACAGGCCUCGUCCCCGCGUAG